rnacentral:rRNA from 1 species
AAAUUGAAGAGUUUGAUCAUGGCUCAGAUUGAACGCUGGCGGCAGGCCUAACACAUGCAAGUCGAACGGUAACAGGAAGCAGCUUGCUGYUUUGCUGACGAGUGGCGGACGGGUGAGUAAUGUCUGGGAAACUGCCUGAUGGAGGGGGAUAACUACUGGAAACGGUAGCUAAUACCGCAUAACGUCGCAAGACCAAAGAGGGGGACCUUAGGG